rnacentral:ncRNA from 1 species
UUAAAGACUAUGAAGAGAAGAGUAGAUAUAGGAUGUAGUCAAAGCGAAUUGGAGAUGGUGAGAGUCCAGUACGAAGCCUAUAUUGAAAAACAUCUCGGAGUUUCUAACCGAAAGCUAUUUUAGGUAGUUAGUAGACUUAGACGGAGCCAAACCGUUAUGCUUUGGACAGUAUUGAUGCAGCAACUUAUUUAAACUCAUGUUGUGUUUUAGUUUUAGUUCUUGUUAUAUGCUAAAUUCACGGCAUAGUUAUAUUGAGCAAUUUGUUUUGCUGGCUUAUGUACUGAUUAGAGUGGUCAUUUAAUGACAAUUUGGGUGGUACCGCGAAGAUUCAGUCUUUCGUCCCUUAA